rnacentral:misc_RNA from 1 species
GUCCUACUUCAUCCCUUCCGUUCUUUUGCUUCAGCCCAGCCGUCGCCCUCCUUUCCUCUGAAGCCACGAUUUCUCUGAACCAAUAGUCUCUCAAGUCUCAUCUUACGCCGCCCAACCCACAAGCCCUCCCCCUCUGCCAUAGCCAGCAUCGUCUCAAUCUCAUUUCAGUUUUUUAGUAUCUUCUUCAACCUCUCUCUUAUCUCAGUCCUGGCUCUCGCUUCUUCACAGACGACCUUCAACCUCAAGCUCGCCGCUCC